GCCCUCAUCGUCUAAGGGACUAGGACGUGGCCCUUUCAAGGCCAAAAGCAGGGUUCGAAUCCCUGUGAGGGCA
rnacentral:tRNA from 1 species